ACGACUCAGCUUCCUUCUUGAGACUCACCCGCUCAGCGAGAGCCAACCGCAGACGCCGGGAGGUGGGACUUGUGCGCACGCACGCUGGCUUGCCCAGUCCCAACCCUUCCCAGACUGUGUUUGCUUCCAGGGACCCGAAGUUGGUAAGGUAUUUGCAGCGGGACGAGGUUCUCGAGGCUCCCUGUGCUUUAACGACAGCGUCCUUUUGGCCUUUGAGUCAGUGGACAGAAGAGGAAAUUUAAGAAAAAGUAAUUGAUCCGGGCCUGGUAGUACUCGCCUUUAACCCUGGCACCAGGAAGGCAGAAGCAGCUCCUAGACACAAGCUGCUGCUAGGAAAGGAAUCCAUCCAUUAAGAGCAAAAGUAACGAAAGGUGAGCACUGGGCCUAUAGGUGGCGCUGUUGCUCCGGAGCACAUGAAGAAACUGAGUAGGAGAAGCAGAUGGAGACCAUUGCAGAAAACCACAGCCUAUCAAAGUGCAGAGUUGUGCAACACAGUCCCAAUGGAUACAUCUACAAAACAACUCCUGCAUCCAGUGCUCAGAGAACAUUGUGGAGGAAGCGGGAGAAAGACUGUAAGAAUCAGAGGAUCACGGAGUUUGCUUUGAGAUGCUGUUCAGUAGGAAUGAUAGAAGCGACACCUGUAACUUCUCACCAACGUGGCUGCCUAAACAUAAGCUGAACCAGAGCAAUAGCAACAGACAUGCCAACGUGGGUGAGGGAAAACCCAUGAAGCCUCAACUAUACAUAAAGAACUACAGGCAACUCAGGAUCCUGACAGUCUUCCCUAGGGGAAAACACACCAAUUAGUUAUCCAGUACCAAAUGAUCAACCCUGAAUAUAUGCAUAUGAGUGACAUGAUAUAGAUUGAUCAGAUUAUAUUUAGGAGUAUAUAUGUAUAUACAUAUAUGAAUGGAAUAACAAUUAAUUAAAAAGCCAUAAAUUUGAAAGAGAGCAAAGACAGGGUAUCUGGGAGGGUUUGGAAAAAGGAAAGAAAAGAGGGAAAUGAUGUAAUUAUAAUCUAAAAAACCAAAGUAAUUUUAAAGGCAUGCAUCUGUAUUCAGCCCCUUUGAAUGAUUAUGACUGUCCUAUGAGCCUAGAACUCACAUGCAUUUUCCUGACUUCUAUCAUUAGAAUAAGUUCAUCAAGAUCAUGAAAAAACACCGGGUGUAGUGGUGCACGCCUUUAAUCCCAGCACUCGGGAGGAAGAGGCAGGCAGAUUUCGGAGUUUGAGGCCAAUCUGGUCUACAAAGUGAGUUCCAGGACAGCCAGGGCUACACAGAGAAACACUGUCUCGAAAAAAAACAAAACAAAAACAAACAAACAAAUAAAAAAGAUCAUGAAAAAGUAUGCUUUUUAAAAAGAUUGUAUUAAAUAUAUAAGUUGACUUUUAGAAGAAUCAACAUGUUAACUUGUCAUUUUUUUUUAAUCAUAAUGAAAAGAAAUAGCUUCUUGUCAGUCUAUUUAAAGCCUGCUUUGGAACUGUUGGUAAUUUUCAUUAAAUGUACUUUACAUAAUAAAAAUUUCAUUUUCUUGAUUUAAAACUAAAAA
rnacentral:lncRNA from 1 species